rnacentral:lncRNA from 1 species
UCAAGAUUAGGGUGCUAACAAUUUUUUUGUUGUUGUUUUGUUUUGAUUUUUAUAUUUUUAAGGCGGGAUCUCACUCGGUAACACUUCCUUUUAGUGGAAGCGCCGACCUCCUGGGAGAUCCACACCCGCUGCCUCCUCCCGCCCCGUUUCUCGGGAAACCACCCAGACACCCCGCCCCACCCGCCGGGGCCCGCCGCGCAUGCGUACCGUGGCGUGACGUCAGCUCGGCGGCCAGGACGCCGGACGUGCGGCAGUCGAGGUCUAGGAGACUAGAAGCUUUUGCGGCGUCUGACAGUUGUCCGCUCUGGUUCGCAGGUGAAGAGAUGGCGUUUGUGAAGAGUGGCUGGUUGCUGCGACAGAGUACUAUUUUGAAGCGCUGGAAGAAGAACUGGUUUGAUCUGUGGUCGGAUGGUCACCUAAUCUAUUAUGAUGACCAGACUCGGCAGAAUAUCGAGGAUAAGGUCCACAUGCCAGUGGACUGUAUCAACAUCUGCACGGGGCAGGAAUGUCGGGGUGAGCUGGCCUGUCUUGGCCAACUUCUGUCUUCUGCUCUUCCUCUGUCUCGGUGGGAACUGGGUCCUCUUCCUUCCCCGUUCUGCUUUCGUUAACAGAUUGAAGAAGGGCUCCAUCUCAGAGGGGCGGCCACAGUGGCGCCCCGGGCACUUAGAUUGUGAACCACAUGGUCGGGGCAAAUCAAUUUUCUCACCUGA